UACGAACUGUGCGAACGUUAUUCGGAAUCACUGGGCUUAAAGGGUGCGUAGGCGGUUUGUUAAGUCAGGUGUGAAAUCCCCCAGCUCAACUGGGGAACAGCGCUUGAAACUGGCAGACUUGAGUGAGGUAAGGGUGUGUGGAACUUCCAGUGGAGCGGUGAAAUGUGUAGAUAUUGGAAGGAACGCCGGUGGCGAAAGCGACACACUGGGCCUUGUCUGACGCUGAGGCACGAAAGCUAGGGGAGUGAAC
rnacentral:rRNA from 1 species